rnacentral:rRNA from 1 species
AUUGAACGCUGGCGGCAGGCCUAACACAUGCAAGUCGAACGGUAACAGGAAGAAGCUUGCUUCUUUGCUGACGAGUGGCGGACGUGUGAGUAAUGUCUGGGAAACUGCCUGAUGGAGGGGGAUAACUACUGGAAACGGUAGCUAAUACCGCAUAACGUCGCAAGACCAAAAAGGGGGACCUUCGGGCCUCUUGCCAUCGGAUGUGCCCAGAUGGGAUUAGCUAGUAGGUGGGGUAACGGCUCACCUAGGCGACGAUCCCUAGCUGGUCUGAGAGGAUGACCAGCCACACUGGAACUGAGACACGGUCCAGACUCCUACGGGAGGCAGCAGUGGGGAAUAUUGCACAAUGGGCGCAAGCCUGAUGCAGCCAUGCCGCGUGUAUGAAGAAGGCCUUCGGGUUGUAAAGUACUUUCAGCGGGGAGGAAGGGAGUAAAGUUAAUACCUUUGCUCAUUGACGUUACCCGCAGAAGAAGCACCGGCUAACUCCGUG